AAAAGAUCCUCUUUGAUGAAUCACUUUCCACUUUCCCUUGCAUGCAACGCAAUCUCCUAAAUCCACCGCCUCAUUGAUUUUCCUUUUCUCCCUCAGUCCCUCUCUCCCAUAAACACUUUCCUCUCUCCUCUCCUUUUUCCUCUAUCUUUCAAAACACAAAACGCAAACCCAAAACCCCUCCCUCUCACCUCCUCUCUUGAAAAAUUUUCUGAUGCAUUGAUCGCACAUCAUUUCCGUCUCUAAUGGCAGACCACUUGACCAAACUCUACCAAUCUCUCUUCGAAGAGAAGCUUCCUCCCGCCGAUCUCUUUCACAGACUCCGCUCUGAUAAUUCCAUCAAACAAGCUCUCCACCGCAUCUAUCUUAUCUUGAAACGCGCCCUUUCCACGAUCGAAACCGUCGAUGCUGCUCUUGUUACUACUAACAACAAAGAAAUUAAGUUAGGGUUCCAGUCAUGGACCGAUUUGCAGAUUCAGUCACUCAUCACCUUCGGUCUCGCCAUCGUGUCUGCUUCUAGAUCUCUGUCUGUGGAGCAAGCGGAGCCGAUCGUUAUUGCGGUUGUGCAGCAGUUGCUUGAGUUUGCCGUUUGUUAUUUGGAGAGGUCAGACUUCAGCAGCGAUGAUUCGAGUAAACAGGGUAAUGUGGUACUCCUGAUGGAAUUGGCAUUGGUUGAUGGAAUUGAUAAAGUAUCUGACCCAUCUCAGUCUUGCUCUGUAAAUAGUCUUCUAGAACUGUUGCCAAUGGAUUCUGGUGAUUGUUGCAGCACUGAGUUGGAGAGCCACAUAAAAUGUAGUCUUCAAGGUGUCAGUUGCUCAAUGGGAGAGAAACCAGUGGAUCAGCUAUUGAUGACUUUAGCAUCUGAAUGUGUUCAACCUGAGUGGCAGGCUCUUGGGUUCAGUGGUUCCAACCAAGAUUCGAACAACUUGAGUUUUUUAUCUCGGCAUUGGGCUGUUGUCCAUGUGGAUUGUACUCGUCGUCUACUUUUGUGCUUUAAAGAUCUUGUUGACUUGCCGUAUAUGCAUGAUGAGAAAAUGGGAGGUCCAGAUUUUUGCAGCAGAUUGUCCUUUGGUUUGAGGGUUUUAAAGUUACUCAGGAAUCUCAUGAAGGACAUUCCAUAUGUUGGAUAUGAUUCUUCACUGUUGCAAGAAGUUGCUUUAUGUGCAGAUGUGUUACCUAGCUUGUUUAAAAUCAGCUUUGAAUUUUCAAAUAACCAAGCUUUUGUUGAGGGUAGUGCAGACUGUCUCAUAUUGUUGCUGUUGGAGGAGUUUCUUCUUCUUGUCCAAGUUGUUUUCUGCAACAGCUGUGCGUUACAGAAUAUACAAGUGUGUAUAGUUGCUUCUGUAUUAGACAACUUGGGUUCCUCUAUAUGGAGAUACAACAAGUCUGCUGCUAAUCCAAAGCCUCCUCUAGUAUACUUCCCUCGAUCUGUUCUUCACAUCUUGAAACUCAUUCAGGAUCUCAGGAGGCAAACAUUUCAGGCUCUUGAUUUGAAGGGCUUCGAUACAGUUCUUAUUGGCAGCUCUACUGAUAUGCUAAAUAAUUAUCCGUUAUGCCAUGCACAUUCUGAGAAGGUUCCUUUGCUUAAAAAGUUUAAAAUUGAGGACUUGUUGAAAAUUAUAUUUUCCCCUUCGACCAAGUGGAUGGACAAUCUGAUGCAUCUUCUUUUUUUCCUUUACUGUGAAGGGGUAAAAUUAAGGCCAAAAGUGGAGAGAUCACAUUCUAGCUCUUUGAGAACUAAUUGCCCUUCAGAAGUGGAAAAUGUGGUUUGUCAUGACGAUGAAGCCCUUUUUGGGAACCUGUUCUAUGAGGGUGGUCGCUCAGUGGGAUCUACUGAUGGAAAUGAUCAGCCACCAGUAACUGUCAAUCCAUGCUCCACCAAUUGCAAUAUGCCAAUGCAAGCUGCCUCCGAAUUAUUGAGUUUUCUGAAGGAGUGUGUCUUUUCUCAUGAGUGGUCUCCUUUUCUUUUUGAGGAUGGCUGCAAAAGGCUAAGGGAGAACCACAUUGAUAUAUUGCUUUCUAUACUCAACUCUCAGGUCGUUUGUUCGGAAGACAAGUCCUCUGAUAGAUGUGCGGCUUCACAUGAAGAGAGAAAGAUUGGGCAUAUCUAUGAACUUUGCUUUGAGCUAUUGCACAACCUUCUUACUUGCCGUGCAUUGUCUGAAACUCUUGAAGAGUACCUUGUUGGGAAAAUUCUGAAUGUUGAAAAUAAUGCUUUUGUUUACAAUGAUCAGACUCUAACUUUGUUAUCUCACAUCCUUUGUUCUAGGGUGGAUUUGGCUGGUAGCCAGUUGAGAGUCAAAUUGUAUGAAAGAUUUGUGGGUUUCAUUGUUGAUAAGGCAAAAACUGUUUGUACAAAGUGUCCUAGUAGCAAGGAAUUUGUUGAGACUCUUCCAUCAGCGUUUCACAUCGAGAUUCUUCUAAUGGCAUUUCACUUGUCAUCGGAAGGAGAGAAGGCAACACUUGCAAACUUAAUAUUUUCUUCGCUCCGAACAGUUGAUGCUCCAUCUGCUGGCUUUUGUGCCACACAAUUGUCAUGCUGGGCUCUAAUAGUGUCAAGGUUGAUCCUACUGCUUCGUCAUAUGAUGUUUUAUGCACAUACUUGUCCUGCAUCACUGCUUUUAGAUUUCCGGUCAAAAUUGAGGGAAGCUCCAGUUUGUGGUUCACUUCCUCCUAAUAUCAUGAAUGAUCAAGUGUCAUCUUGGGCAUCAAUUGCAGUAAAAGUUGUAUUGAGUGAACGGGUGGAAGUGGAUCCUUCCAUCAGUGCCUUGACCAAUCAACUAAUUGAUAUUUCAGCUGUUCCUCCUUCACUUUGUAGAGAUGAAUCAACCAUUGAAUCAUUAUGCCUGAGUUGGAAUGAUAUAUGUGCAACCUUCUCAUGGAUUCUGGGGUUCUGGAAAGGCAAAAAUGCUGCAGCAGUAGAAGACCUUAUAGUUGAAAGAUAUAUGUUCUUGCUUUGUUUGGAUAUUCCAAUAAUGAGUUCUACACCAGACCAUCAGGUUUCAUUGUGGAGUGAGACACAGUCUAUUGACAUAACUAAUAUGAUGUAUUUCUUUCACUUCAGCCACUCGUUAAUAGCCCACUGUGAUAUUGGCAAGAGCAUGAAAAUUCCAGAUGUUGUACUUGGUGUGCUACAGCAUUUGUGUGCAUUGCACAUGUCAGAGGAUGUCAAGGAACUGGGCUGGGAUUUCUUGAGGAAUGGGUUUUGGUUGUCUCUGGUACUUUCCUUAUUUACUGUUGGGAUCAGCCAAUACUGCAUUAAGAAUAGAGUCCCUGGAGUGAGUCCGUUCUGGAUUGAGAAUACAGCUAGGGACAAUUUAUGUGUCACUGUUGCAGAAGGCCUGACUUCCUGCUUAAUUGAGGCUGGUCAAGUUCCAUUGCUGUUGAGGAUGUUAUCAUCUUUGCUGAACAGAUACUUACAGGUAUAUCAAAAGGCUUUCCUUACUACCCUUGGUGAUGGCCAGUGUAAUGCUAAUAGUUUUUCAUCACUGUUACUUCUCAAACACACUGGUUUUGAAAAAAGCCUUCAGGAUGAGUUCCUUAAGAAGAGUGGUGUCAGUUCAUAUCACCUGGAAUCUUAUUCUGAUUUAUUGUCAAAGUGGGAUGCUAUUGUGGACAAAAGGGCUCCUACAGUUCGAUGUAAAGUGCUUUGGGAAUGUAUGUUGCAUGGUUUUCCCUCUCAUCUUCAAACUCCAAGUGCUAUCCUUCUGUCUUGUAUUCUUAGCAUAAGAGGGAUACUAUCUGUUCUAGAUAGAUUGUUCAGACUAGAUGAUCUCAGAGAAAGUAUUUGCAAGGAGAGGGUUGUACUUUGCCAGAUUCUGAGUUCAGUAAUGAUAAUUAAAUUUGAUAGAAUCUUUGAAAGCAUUCAAGGAAAAUGUGAGGCUAUUGUUGGAAACCUGAGUUCUGGGUUUGCACUGUCAGAUUAUUCUGAUCUAUUUCUAAUGAAACACAUGGAAGGGUUUCUAAGAGAAAUCAAUGCCAGUGGUGAGCAUGAUAGCAGUACACUUGAAUGGGUAAUCACUAAGAUUAUUGAUACUGCAGAUAGCCUCAGGAAAGACCCAUUGAAAACUGCAAUCUUCAAAUUUUAUCUUGGUGUAGAAGAUGUGUCCAAACCAGACGAGUUCUAUGAGUUGCUACGUGGUGAUUUGUUAGUUCUAUUGGACUCUCUGGAUAAUUGUUCCUCAGAAUCAGUAAAUGGAAAGGUGCUUAAUUUCUUUGUUGAUCUCUUAUUAGGUGACUUUUGUCCAAAUCUCAAACAGAAGAUACAAAAAAAAUUUUUUGGGAUGGAUAUACUUCGUCUGUCCAAAUGGUUGGAGAAGCGGCUGUUAGGUUGUGUUGUGGAAGCUUCAGGUGGAGCUGGCUGUGUGAAGGGGAAUUCUGUUUUUCUCAGAGAAACAACUACAAGUUUUAUCUUGUCUCUUGUCUCCUCUGCUUCUGAAAUGAACUUGACAGAACUAAACAAUCAUUUGUUUGAAGCUGUGCUUGCUUCACUUGACACUGCAUUUUUGCUAUUUGAUGUUCAUAUUGCCAAGUCGUAUUUCCAAUUUGUUGUUCAACUUUCUAGAGGAGAAUAUUUAAUGAAAUUGCUUUUGACAAGGACUGUAAUGUUGAUGGAGAAGCUGGCUGUGGAUGAUCGCCUAUUUCCAGGGCUGAAAUUUCUAUUUGGCUUUUUUGGCAAUGUCUUGAGUGAUUCUGGGUCUUGUAAGAACGCCUUGGAGAAGACUUCAGGGAAAUCUUUAUCUGGCAGUAAUCUUGGCAAAGGUGCUGUUGCUUUAAAGCCAAUAGGAUCAAGGAAGAAUUCUGAUUCUGUGGUUCUUUCUGCAAGUCAAGAAGGGGAGUCUGCAGCUGUUGAAUGUGAUGCAACAUCUGUGGAUGAAGAUGAGGAUGAUGGAACAUCUGAUGGUGAGGUAGCUAGCAUAGAUAAGGAUGAGGAUGAUGAUGCUAACAGUGAAAGGACUCUUGCCUCAAAGGUUUGCACAUUUACAUCCAGUGGCAGCAAUUUUAUGGAACAACAUUGGUACUUCUGUUAUACUUGUGAUCUGACCGUAACAAAAGGAUGUUGCUCUGUGUGUGCAAAAGUCUGUCAUCAUGGUCAUCGUGUUGUUUAUUCUCGCUCAAGUCGAUUCUUUUGCGACUGUGGAGCUGGUGGUGUUAGGGGUAGCAAUUGCCAAUGCUUGAAGCCUCGAAAAUUCACUGGAAGCGACAGUGCACCCAUGCGCAGUGCUAGCAAUUUUCAAUCGUUUUUACCCUUCUCGGAGGAUGCAGAUCAGUUGCCAGAGAGUGAUUCUGAUCUGGAUGAGGAUCUCUCUUCAGAUACAGAUAACUUACUUAGGUUAUCUAUUCCAAGAGAGCUUCAAGUUGGGGUGACAGCAUUGCUUGAAGAACUUGAUGUUGAGGGUCGGAUGCUUCGACUUUGCUCUUCACUGCUGCCUUCUAUAACAAGCAAAAGAGGAUCAAAUCUUUCCAAAGAUAAGAAAAUAAUUCUAGGCAAGGACAAAGUGCUUUCUUACGGUGUUGAGCUGUUGCAGUUGAAAAAAGCUUAUAAAGGUGGGUCAUUAGACCUGAAAAUAAAGGCUGAUUAUCCAAAUGCCAAGGAGCUCAGAUCUCAUUUGGCUAGUGGUUCUCUUGUGAAAUCUUUGCUCAGUGUCAGUAACCGAGGUCGACUUGCUGUUGGAGAAGGUGACAAAGUUGCUAUUUUCGAUGUUGGGCAAUUAAUUUGUCAGGCCACCAAUGCACCAGUAACGGCAGACAAGACCAAUGUUAAACCUCUUUCAAGAAAUGUUGUUCGCUUUGAAAUUGUACAUCUUACUUUCAAUGCGGUAGUUGAGAAUUAUCUUGCUGUAGCAGGGUAUGAAGAUUGCCAGGUUCUUACUUUAAAUCCUCGUGGUGAAGUGACUGAUCGUCUUGCAAUUGAGCUGGCUUUGCAAGGUGCAUACAUCAGACAGAUUUGUUGGGUUCCAGGUUCCCAGGUGAAGUUAAUGGUGGUGACUAACAGGUUUAUCAAGAUAUAUGAUCUAUCUCAGGACAACAUUAGUCCUCUGCACUACAUCACGUUACCUGAUGAUGUAAUUGUUGACGCAACACUUCUUAUGGCUUCUCAGGGGAGAAUGUUUCUUAUUGUUCUUUCUGAGCAAGGGAGCCUUUUCAGAUUAGAAUUGUUUGUGGAGGGUAAUGUUGGGGCCACCCCAUUGAAGGAAAUUAUUCCGAUUCAGGACACAGAAAUUAAUGCAAAGGGAUCAUCUUUGUACUUCUCUUCCACUUACAAAUUACUGUUCAUAUCCUAUCAAGAUGGCACUACUUUGAUGGGUCAACUAAGCCUAGAUGCAACAUCUCUAACUGAGAUGUCUUUCGUAUAUGAGGAUGAACAAGAUGGCAAGAUGCGAUCAGCUGGUCUGCAUCGAUGGAGAGAAUUGCUGGCGGGCAGUGGGUUAUUUGUUUGUUUUUCCAGUGUGAAGUCAAAUGCUGCACUUGCUGUAUCCAUGGGACCUCAUGAAUUACAUGCACAGAGCAUGCGGCAUGCUGUAAGCUCAACCUCGCAUUUAGUUGGGUUAAUUGCUUACAAGCCUCUGUCCAAAGACAAGAUCCACUGUCUCAUUUUACAUGAUGAUGGAAGCCUUCAGAUAUACUUGCACAUCCCUGCAGGAUCUGAUGAUGGUGCAAGUUUGACUGCUGAGAAAGUAAAGAAUUUGGGUUCUGGCAUUCUCAAUAAUAAAGCUUAUGCUGGGAUAAAACCAGAAUUCCCUGUGGAUUUCUUCGAGAAAACAGUCUGCAUCACAGCUGAUGUAAAACUGGGUGGUGAUGCCAUUAGAAAUAGUGACUCUGAAGCUGCAAAACACAGCUUGACGUCAGAUGAUGGCUUUUUGGAAAGCCCCAGCGCUGCGGGCUUUAAGAUAUCUGUCUCCAAUUCAAAUCCUAAUAUUGUCAUGGUCGGUUUUCGUGUGCACGUGGGUAACACUUCAGCAAACCACAUUCCUUCUGAUAUUACCAUUUUUCAGAGGGUAAUUAAGUUAGAUGAAGGCAUGCGGUCCUGGUAUGAUAUUCCAUUUACUGUAGCUGAAUCGCUCCUUGCGGAUGAAGAAUUUGUGAUUUCUGUUGGGCCUACCUUCAAUGGCACUACAUUUCCCAGAAUUGACUCUCUUGAAGUAUAUGGUCGAGCUAAAGAUGAAUUUGGGUGGAAGGAGAAGAUGGAUGCUGUAUUGGAUAUAGAAGCUCGUGUACUUGGUUCCAAUUCUUUGCUUGGAGGAUCUGGGAAAAAGUGCCAGUCAGUGCAGUCUGCUCCUAUUCAGGAGCAGGUUGUAGCAGAUGGUCUCAAGCUUCUAUCCAGGUUAUAUUCAUUGUGUAGAUCCCAAGAUGAUGAUGUAAAAAUGGAGCCGAGUGAACUCAAGUGCAAGCCACUGUUAGAAACAAUAUUUGAAAGUGACAGAGAGCCCUUGUUACAGGCUGCUGCUUGCCGUGUUUUGCAGUCUGUUUUCCCUAAGAAAGAGAGAUAUUGCCAGGUUAAAGAUGCUAUGCGCCUUCAUGGGGUGGUUAAAUCAACCUCAAUGCUAUCGUCAAGGCUAGGAGCUGGUGAAACUACAGGAGGGUGGAUGGUUGAAGAAUUUACUGCUCAGAUGCGUGCUGUAUCUAAGAUCGCAUUGCACCGUCGUUCUAAUUUAGCCCUUUUUCUUGAGAUGAACGGUUCUGAAGUGGUGGAUGGACUCAUGCAAGUUCUAUGGAGAAUUUUGGAGUUUGAGCAACCGGACACUCAAACUAUGAACAACAUUGUUAUAUCUUCUGUGGAGCUUAUUUAUUGUUAUGCUGAAUGUCUGGCUUUACAUGGAAAAGACACAGUGGGACGCACUGUUGCUCCUGCUGUUGUAUUGUUAAAGAAACUUCUGUUCUCUUCCAAUGAGGCUGUUCAAACUUCCAGCAGCCUUGCUAUAUCAUCAAGAUUACUCCAGGUUCCAUUCCCGAAGCAAACAAUGUUAGCAACAGAUGAUGCUGUGGAUAGUGCUGUUUCAGCUUCUGGUUCUGCCGAGGCAACUAGUGGAAACACACAAGUCAUGAUUGAAGAAGAUUCUAUUACAUCAUCUGUUCAAUAUUGUUGUGAUGGAUGCUCCACCGUUCCUAUACUCAGGCGAAGAUGGCAUUGUACCGUCUGUCCUGAUUUUGACUUAUGUGAGGCUUGUUAUCAAGAAUUAGACGCAGAUCGGCUCCCACCACCCCAUUCUAGGGAUCAUCCUAUGACAGCUAUUCCAAUUGAAGUGGAAUCAUUAGGAGGAGAAGGCAAUGAAAUUCAUUUCUCCACUGAUGAUGCAAAUGAUUCAAACUUGAUGCCAAUCACUGCAGAUGUGAGUGUGCAGAACUCUGCUCCUUCCAUUCAUGUCUUGGAAUCUGGAGAGUACUCUGCCUCGGUGGCUGAUACAGUCUCUAUUUCUGCUUCAAAACGAGCUGUGAAUUCCUUGCUUCUCUCUGAACUUCUUGAACAGUUGAAGGGAUGGAUGCAGACCACCACUGGUGUUCGUGCUAUCCCUAUCAUGCAGUUGUUCUAUAGAUUAUCAUCUGCUGUGGGUGGACCUUUCAUAGAUAGCUUUAAGCCUGAGGCCUUGGAUUUAGAGAAAUUGAUUCAGUGGUUUUUGGUUGAAAUUGAUCUCAAUAAACCUUUUGUUGCCAAAACCCGUUCUUCUUUUGGGGAAGUUGCAAUCCUUGUUUUCAUGUUCUUCACUUUGAUGCUCCGAAAUUGGCACCAGCCUGGUAGUGAUGGUUCUAUUCCAAAAUCAAGUGGACCUGCAGACUCGCAUGAUAAGAAUGUUAUCCAGGUUAGCUCAGUUGCCUCUCAGUCUUCCUUGGAUGGUCAAGAGAAAAAUGACUUUACAUCACAGCUGCUUCGAGCUUGCAACACUCUCAGGAAUCAAGCAUUUGUUAAUUAUCUGAUGGAUAUUCUGCGGCAGCUAGUGGAUGUUUUUAAGUCCCCUAAUGCUAAUUUUGAAGCCACACAUGGUAUGCAUGCUGGUUCUGGAUGUGGGGCUCUAUUAACAGUUAGGAGAGAUUUACCAGCUGGUAAUUUCUCUCCAUUUUUUUCAGAUUCAUAUGCAAAAGCCCAUCGAGUUGAUAUUUUUAUGGACUACCAUAGGCUAUUAUUGGAGAAUGCUUUCCGACUGGCAUACACUUUGGUUAGACCAGAAAAGCAAGACAAGACUGGGGAGAAGGAGAAGUUGUACAAGAUUUCUUCAGGGAAAGAUUUGAAAUUAGAUGGAUAUCAGGAUGACCUUUGUAGUUACAUAAAUAAUCCUCAUACUACAUUUGUAAGAAGAUAUGCAAGGAGGUUGUUUCUGCAUCUUUGUGGAAGUAAAACUCACUAUUAUAGUGUUAGAGACUCUUGGCAAUUCUCCACUGAGAUGAAGAAACUUUACAAACACACAAAUAAAUCUGGUGGCCUUCAAAAUCCUGUGCCUUAUGAGAGAAGUGUGAAGAUAGUGAAGUGCUUAUCGACAAUGGCUGAGGUGGCUGCUGCACGGCCUCGAAAUUGGCAGAAAUAUUGUUCUAGGCAUGGAGAUGUUUUCCCCUUCUUGAUGAAUGCAGUGUUUUACUUUGGUGAAGAGUCCGUUAUUCAGACUCUCAAACUUUUAAAUUUGGCCUUCUAUUCAGGAAAGGAUAUGACCCAAUCCUUGCAGAAACUUGAAGUGGGGGAGUCAGGGACAAGUUCAAACAAAUCAGGGGCACAGUCAUUAGAUUCAAAGAAGAAGAAGAAAGGCGAAGUGGGAACUGAAUCUGGGUUGGAGAAAUCUUAUAUGGACAUGGAGUCUGCUGUUGAUAUCUUUACUGACAAGGGCGGUGAUGUUUUGAGGCAAUUUGUUGACUGCUUUUUACUGGAAUGGAAUUCAAGCUCUGUGCGCACAGAAGCUAAAUUUGUUCUUUAUGGUGCAUGGCAUCAUGGGAAACAUUCAUUUAAGGAAACAAUGUUAAUGACUUGCUUGCAGAAAGUGAAAAACCUGCCAAUGUAUGGUCAGAACAUUGUUGAGUUCACUGACUUGGUCACUUGGUUACUGGGGAAAGUCCCUGAUUCUAGUUCAAAGCAGCAGACCACUGAACUUGUGGAUCGUUGCUUGACCCCUGAUGUAAUUAGGUGCAUCUUUGAGACACUUCAUUCACAAAAUGAGCUUAUUGCUAAUCAUCCAAAUUCUCGCAUAUAUAAUACUUUGAGUGGUAUUGUGGAAUUUGAUGGUUACUAUCUGGAGAGUGAACCUUGUGUUGCCUGCAGCUCUCCUGAGGUACCUUAUAGCAAGAUGAAGCUAGAAAGCUUGAAGUCUGAGACUAAGUUCACUGACAAUCGCAUCAUAGUGAAGUGUACUGGAAGUUACACCAUCCAAACCGUGACAAUGAAUGUUCAUGAUGCACGCAAGUCCAAAUCUGUGAAAGUUUUGAAUCUGUAUUACAACAAUCGGCCUGUGGCUGACUUGUCAGAGUUGAAAAACAAUUGGUCCUUGUGGAAGCGUGCUAAGAGUUGUCAUCUUGCUUUCAACCAGACUGAGCUAAAAGUGGAGUUUCCUAUUCCAAUCACUGCUUGUAACUUCAUGAUUGAACUAGAUUCUUUCUAUGAAAAUCUUCAGGCUCUAUCGCUUGAACCAUUGCAAUGCCCGCGUUGCAGUCGACCUGUCACUGAUAGGCAUGGAAUUUGCAGCAAUUGCCAUGAGAAUGCAUAUCAGUGCAGGCAAUGCCGCAACAUAAAUUAUGAGAAUUUAGAUUCUUUCCUGUGCAAUGAGUGUGGGUUCAGCAAAUAUGGCCGUUUCGAGUUUAACUUCAUGGCUAAGCCUAGUUUUACAUUUGACAACAUGGAGAAUGAUGAUGAUAUGAAGAGGGGAUUGGCUGCCAUUGAAUCAGAAUCAGAAAAUGCUCAUAGGAGAUACCAGCAACUUUUGGGCUUUAAAAAGCCCCUUCUUAAGAUUGUGUUGAGCAUUGGUGAGAAUGAAAUGGAUUCACAGCAGAAGGACUCCAUCCAGCAAAUGAUGGUCUCUCUGCCUGGACCUUCAUGUAAGAUAAACAGAAAGAUUGCUCUUCUUGGUGUCUUGUAUGGUGAAAAGUGCAAAGCUGCUUUUGAUUCUGUCAGCAAAAGUGUUCAGACAUUGCAGGGCCUUCGUCGGGUUUUGAUGAGUUACUUGCACCAGAAACAUUCAGAUGAUGCAAUUGCAGCAUCCAGAUUUGUGUUUUCCAGGUCUCCAAAUAAUUGCUAUGGCUGUGCAACUACAUUUGUAACACAGUGUUUGGAGAUGUUGCAGGUUCUUUCAAAGCAUCCUAAUUCAAAGAAACAACUUGUUGCAGCUGGCAUCUUAUCUGAGUUGUUUGAAAAUAAUAUUCAUCAAGGUCCUAAAACAACUCGUGUCCAAUCAAGGGCAGUACUUUGUGCUUUCUCUGAAGGUGAUAUAACUGCAAUAACUGAGUUGAACAGUUUAAUACAGAAGAAAGUCAUGUACUGUCUUGAACAUCAUCGCUCGAUGGACAUUGCCCUUGCCACUCGUGAGGAGCUUUUACUGCUUUCAGAAGUGUGUUCCUUGGCUGAUGAGUUCUGGGAAUCAAGAUUGCGUGUUGUUUUCCAGCUGUUAUUUUCAUCCAUCAAAUUGGGUGCAAAACAUCCUGCAAUAGCUGAGCAUAUAAUUCUUCCUUGUCUGAGAAUCAUAUCUCAGGCAUGCACUCCUCCAAAACCAGAUACAGUAGACAAAGAGCAGGGUAUUGGAAAAUCUGCUUCUGCGGGACAGCUAAAGGAUGAAAACAACUCGAAUACAUCUGGAUCUUUUGGUGGAGUUGUCGAUGGAAUUAAGUUAACACCAGAACCUUUGGAAAAAAAUUGGGAUGCUUCUCACAGGACUCAGGAUAUUCAAUUGCUGAGUUAUUCUGAGUGGGAGAAGGGAGCAUCAUACAUUGAUUUUGUAAGAAGGCAGUACAAAGUGUCUCAAGCAAUCAAAGGGGCUGGCCAGAGAUCUCGGCCCCAGAGACAUGAAUACCUGGCUCUCAAAUAUGCUCUCAGGUGGAGAAGGCGUGCUUGUAAGACAUCUAAGGGUGAUUUAUCCACAUUUGAGCUUGGGUCUUGGGUGACAGAACUUGUUUUGAGUGCUUGCUCCCAAUCUAUUAGGUCAGAGAUGUGCAUGCUGAUUAGUUUACUUUGUACCCAGAGUUCAUCAAGACGGUUUCGGUUGUUAAACUUACUUAUGGCUUUGCUACCUGCAACCCUGGCUGCUGGUGAAAGUGCAGCUGAAUACUUUGAAUUGCUGUUCAAGAUGAUUGAUUCAGAAGAUGCUCGUCUCUUCUUGACUGUGCGGGGAUGUCUAACUACAAUAUGUAAACUCAUUACUCAAGAAGUUGGUAGUGUUGAAUCUUUUGAAAGGAGUCUACAUAUUGAUAUUUCACAAGGAUUCAUUCUUCACAAGCUUAUUGAACUCCUUGGCAAAUUUUUAGAGGUUCCCAAUGUUAGAUCCAGAUUUAUGCGAGACAAUUUGCUGUCUGAUAUCCUUGAGGCUCUUAUUGUCAUUCGUGGCUUAGUAGUACAGAAGACAAAGUUGAUCAGUGAUUGCAAUCGCCUUCUAAAUGAUCUUUUAGACAGUCUUCUGCUUGAAAGUAGUGAAAAUAAACGACAGUUUAUCCGAGCUUGUAUUUGUGGGCUACAAAUCCAUGGAGAGGAGAGAAAAGGACGAACUUGUUUGUUUAUUCUGGAGCAGCUUUGCAAUUUGAUCUGCCCAUCAAAACCAGAGUCCGUAUAUUUGUUGGUUCUAAAUAAGGCACACACACAGGAAGAAUUUAUCAGAGGAUCAAUGACGAAAAAUCCAUAUUCCAGUGCUGAGAUUGGUCCUCUGAUGCGUGAUGUGAAAAACAAAAUUUGCCAUCAAUUGGAACUGGUAGGCCUUCUUGAAGAUGACUAUGGCAUGGAGUUGUUGGUAGCUGGGAAUAUUAUCUCUCUUGAUUUGAGCAUUGCUCAAGUUUAUGAGCAAGUCUGGAAGAAGUCAAAUGGUCAAGCUUCAAAUGCAAUGGCCAAUUCUACCUUGUUAUCCUCAAGUGGCAUGACAUCAGCCAGAGAUUGCCCACCUAUGACAGUGACUUACAGGCUUCAGGGAUUAGAUGGUGAAGCUACUG
rnacentral:misc_RNA from 1 species